rnacentral:lncRNA from 1 species
UUAUAUUAUAUACCAUGUAUUUAAUUUAUGUUUGCUAAAAGAAUAGUAUUCAAAACAAAACAAGCACCGAUUGGACAGGACCAUUAUUGGGGGGACCAAACGGUUGCGUUAACAGUUAUGCCACUUGCCAAAAUAUUCAUAACAAAAUAAUGUGACCUGUUAAGCUCCAGCUCAGUCGCAGUGUCAGUGUGCGCAAUCAAUGCAUGUGAUCCCGUAUUUCCUUCAAAGAAUUAAAUAAAAUAGCCCUUUAAAUAAUUAAUUGCUUUCGGCCAUUUAUGGAAAGUUGUCACGUUGUCUCAGUCACUGAAAGACCCCACGAAAAGUCCUCUUUGUCAGCUCUGCUCUUAUCCUCCUUUAGCUUUCACACUCCCAAUCAAAACUGUCCAUAAAAUAUUUCUUUUUUUUUUCUUCUUAAUUUGAGAUAUUCGAUGUAUGAGAUAUUUAUUUAUUAUUGUUAUU